UCUCUGGUGGCCCAGUGGUUGGGUAUCUGCCUGCUAAUGCAGAGAACAUGGGUUCAAUCCCUAGUCUCAGAG
rnacentral:tRNA from 1 species